AUUGAACGCUGGCGGCAUGCCUAACACAUGCAAGUCGAACGGCAGCACGGGAGCUUGCAGCUGGUAGCGGGGGGCGGUCGCGGGAGGAAUACAUAUGAACAGGUCCUGACGUUUGGGAUGGGGCGAACGAAGCGGGAUUAAUACCACAACCGCACACCGGCUGAGAGCGAGAGAACUGCGGCCCUCGACCUUGCGGGUUUGACGAUGGCGGAUUAGCUAGUUGGUGGGGUAAAGGCCUACCAAGGCGACGAUCAGUAGCUGGUCUGAGAGGAUGACCAGCCACACUGGAACUGAGACACGGUCCAGACUCCUACGGGAGGCAGCAGUGGGGAAUAUUGGACAAUGGGCGAAAGCCUGAUCCAGCCAUGCCGCGUGUGUGAAGAAGGCCUUCGGGUUGUAAAGCCCUUUUGUCGGGAAAGAAAAGCUGCACGCUAAUACCGCCGUGGGCUGACGGUACCGGAAGAAUAAGCACCGGCUAACUACGUG
rnacentral:rRNA from 1 species